CGCGAUAACCCUAGCGAACUGCCGCCGCUCCCAUCGCUGUCGUCGUCGCGCAUGACCUUGCCUGCGCUUGCCAAUGGCGAGCUGCCACCGCGCACGCACACCUCCCUCAAGCUUGUCCUCGGCCGCUCCGCAUCCUCGUCCCGCGCGCUUCAUCGUCCUCGCGCGCACGGUGCUCCCUCGAGCUUCUCCUCUGCCCGCGCGCUCCCACGAGCUCGUCCUCUGCCCGUGCGCUCCUCGUCGACCAGCCCCAUCAUCACGCGGCUCGUCCCGUCCUUGCGCGGCUUGUCCCCCUCCUCGUCUCCGCGCGUGGCUUAUCCCCGUCCUCGGCGAUGAUCGAUGUAUAU
rnacentral:lncRNA from 1 species